GUAUCUUGGCUUGAUGACAUUGCGAAAUUGACGCAUCUUGUGGAGCAAGGUGGAUCGAGACGUGGUAGAUCAAUUUGUGUGCCUCGUCUAUAAAUAAACCUCGUGAAUUGCUGGAAACUCUUUGAUGACUUGUCGGCUACAACGUAAUUGGAAACGAUAAGCGUGAAUGCUCAAAAACGACAAGGGGAUAAAGACAAUCAGCAGCCAAGCUCCUUUAAAAUGGAGAAGGUCCAACGGCCAUCGAAAGCACGCUUUAAAAGCGGAAGCGAGUAGAGUAGGAAUCAAGCGAUUCCCAAGUGCGAGGGUACUCAGUUUGAGUACAAGAGAUGGUCUGAACUCUAGGGUGACUUAGAG
rnacentral:ncRNA from 1 species